rnacentral:piRNA from 1 species
UAUGUCAGACAAGCCCCUACACCUUGAGGCAU